rnacentral:rRNA from 1 species
ACGCCGGCGGCAGGCCUAACACAUGCAAGUCGAGCGGUAGAGAGAAGCUUGCUUCUCUUGAGAGCGGCGGACGGGUGAGUAAUGCCUAGGAAUCCGCCUGGUAGUGGGGGAUAACGUUCGGAAACGGACGCUAAUACCGCAUACGUCCUACGGGAGAAGGCAGGGGACCUUCGGGCCUCGCGCUAUCAGAUGAGCCUAGGUCGGAUUAGCUAGUUGGUGAGGUAAUGGCUCACCAAGGCGACGAUCCGUAACUGGUCUGAGAGGAUGAUCAGUCACACUGGAACUGAGACACGGUCCAGACUCCUACGGGAGGCAGCAGUGGGGAAUAUUGGACAAUGGGCGAAAGCCUGAUCCAGCCAUGCCGCGUGUGUGAAGAAGGUCUUCGGAUUGUAAAGCACUUUAAGUUGGGAGGAAGGGUUGUAGAUUAAUACUCUGCAAUUUUGACGUUACCGACAGAAUAAGCACCGGCUAACUCUGUGCCAGCAGCCGCGGUAAUACAGAGGGUGCAAGCGUUAAUCGGAAUUACUGGGCGUAAAGCGCGCGUAGGUGGUUUGUUAAGUUGGAUGUGAAAUCCCCGGGCUCAACCUGGGAACUGCAUUCAAAACUGACUGACUAGAGUAUGGUAGAGGGUGGUGGAAUUUCCUGUGUAGCGGUGAAAUGCGUAGAUAUAGGAAGGAACACCAGUGGCGAAGGCGACCACCUGGACUAAUACUGACACUGAGGUGCGAAAGCGUGGGGAGCAAAC